rnacentral:rRNA from 1 species
GGAUCCCUUCAGACCUCCGAAGUUAAGCGGCGCAAGGCCCGGUUAGUACUUGGGUGGGGGACUCCCAGGGAAUACCCUCGGGUGCUGACAGCUUU